rnacentral:lncRNA from 10 species
GGGCAUAACGUUUCUUUUUAAUAAUAUGCUUCUACUUUGACCUGAGUGUGUAAAGAAAAAGAGAUUACUGCAUAUGACUUUGGGUCAGUUUCUUAUCUUUCACAACUCUUUGGGGAGAACUUCCUUAGAGAAGGUGAAUAUUUGAAAUGGUAUCUUAAGAUUUCAAUUUCACACACAGUGGUUGUAAGAAAUAACUGCCUACCGGUGGGAUUUCAUUCCUAUUCAACGGGCAAUUAAAUUGCUCAAAUUUAAGUUUAACAUUUAGAAUCAAGUCUCAAAAUGUGUUUUUAUUAUGAAUAAUUUUAAAGCAAUCAUGACCUUAUUGUAUCCUCCCUUAACAACUAGUACAUGCCUUAUGCAGAAGAGAGACUCAGGAACUAUGAGGUGAUUGGGACAUGUAAAACGGUUCUUUUAAAAGUUGAGAAAAUCUCUAUUUGAUCCCUGCCAGUGGGACUGAAAUUUCAUUCCUUUUCCCUUUCCCCCAAUUCCUUGCAAAUCUUAAAUAUCCUAAAAUCUAGAAAAUGUUCAAGUUUUCCUUCCUGAAUAAGAAUGCUAGAAGAAGAAUGAAUCAAUCUACACGAUGGCUCUGACCCCAGAUGGAUCAUUUUUUUCCCCUGUGGGCAUUUUCUAUCCUUUUUGCUUAUUACAUUUACAAUUGUUUUCUAAGGGAACAGCAGUUUCAAGUGACUAAGGUUACAUUCCUUUGCUAAAAUGGACUUCUGAUAGAAAUGAAAAUGCAAAUAUAAUUGAGAAGAUCCCAACAUUAUGAUAAUUUACCUCUCUUUUUUUUUCAACCAUUAGAAGCCAAGUUGCAACAUAUGCUUUGUCACUUGUGACAUUCAUAUACAAAAAUAUGACAUUUUGUUUCUAAAUGUGGCAUUCAGGAACAAAAAUAAAGACCUGUCUUAAUAGGGUUUCGGCUCCCAUGGAGAAUUUUUUUAAACUAUUCGGUUGUCACAGGCAUCCUGUGCUCAGACUCAUUUCAGAACAUUUCAGGGCCAGCUGACAGAUAAGUUUUCACAGAUGUAAGGCCUAUUAGUAACCUUAGUGAUAAACAGAUUCGGUUUUCUAUAUAGUAAAGAGCCCAAAAUACAUCUUUUAAAAAAUCCAUUUCAACCGAGCCUUAGGAUGAGCAUAGAAGCUCAGCUGUUUGCUAGCUGCGUGAUCUGGGGGAAUUUACUUCACUUCUCUGAACCUCAGUUUCUGUACCUAUCAAAUGGAGGAUGGAGGCAAUCAUAAUGUCACCAGGGCCAGAACUAGGAUGAGGCCACUGGGGUGCCUGCUUGCCUCACAGGAGUUUUGAGAGGAGUCAAUAGGAUAUGUAUAAAAAUACUUUGCACAGUGAUGCUGCACAGUAAAUGGUCAGAAACGAUAGCUGUUGGUAUUACCCCAUCUUUCAGAAGUAAUCACCACUGUAUCAGGAAGCAACAAUCUCCCAGCCAAUCAGGACAUCCACCAAAGAGUGCUGAGACUGGGGUGCUGUAGAAAGAGCUGAAGUUCACCUAAGACCUCGGCAAGCCUCAGGCCAGAAAUGCAGGGCUGUGCCCAUUUCGGGGCCUGGGUAGGCUGCUGACAGCUUCUCUGCUUCUCUGCUACACUGCUACACUGACUGCUUCAGCCACAUCCCUGAUUUCAUCUGAUUUUCCCCUCCAACAACUUUCAAACCACCAUUUAUAAUUUAAAAAAGAAGCCAAACAAAGCACUGAAGGAGCCGCCCCCAAAUGUCACCAUUCCUCAGUGAGUUCUUAGCAGUGUUAAGCUCAUAGUGUGUCCUAGUGGAAGGGGCCUGAGAAGUGGGAUU